CACCGCGGUUAUACGAGAGGCCCAAGUUGAUAGACAUCGGCGUAAAGAGUGGUUAAGACAAAUUAAAGACUAAAGCCGAACACCCUCAGAACUGUUAUACGUAUCCGAGAGCAAGAAGUUCAAUCACGAAAGUGGCUUUACCCUCCCCCCGAACCCACGAAAGCUAUGACA
rnacentral:rRNA from 1 species